CAACAUGCAGCUUCAUCUUCAUGCUAAAGUUCAGCUGCUUAUACUUUUAUUAAUACUAAUACUUGCGUGAAUAAUGUUAUUCAGAAAAAAAAACAACCAUACUGACACUUUUAAAAGGUUGUAGGUGGAGGCCUUGCCAGAGUUCGGAGCCUCCUUCUCUAAUCUGCAGAUAAAGGCAGAAUGUGCAGGCUGCUGGAAAAGGCUGCAGGAGGUGCAGAGUUGGUUGCUGAUAUUUGGCAGACACUUGAUUUGGAGCCUUUUCACCGCUCAACAGGAUUAGAUGGCAGCUAAUGUUUGUGUUUAGUAUAAACUCAAGCAGGAGGCUCUAGCUACAUCUUUUUUUUCGCACAAUCUACAUUUAGGUAGCUGCAGGUCAUGGAUUAAGAUUAUGGUGGAAGCAUGUAUGUUGGAUAUCCUUAUAAACUGGAGGUUGAGUUGGAAAUUUUAGACUGCCGAAAGGUGGAGGUUUGGUCUGCAGAUGUAAGCAACAAUCAGCAGAUUGAGGUGGGGGCUGCAGGUGUGUGGUUGGGGCUGGAGGUGCAUGGAGCAAAACGAAUGUUAACCUGACAUCUCUGCAUGUUCAUUUGAGAGCCUCACCCUAUGACUCUACAUUCAAUUUUACCAAACACCUGCAGCCACUGCCUCCACCUGCAACCUACACCCUCAACCAGACACAGCUGCAGUCUGUGUAUUGUUGACAGCUGCUAUCCGUAACUCCACCAUAACCUCCUGACACUGACAACAGGUAGCUCCUCCACCAGCGUCUGCAUGCUGACAUCAUUUUUACCCCCCCCAAGAUUCAGAGAAAGUAGCUACACCUUCAGAUUUUUGACAGCUGUCACACGUGCCUCGAUAUUCCUCCACCUGUGGAUUGGAAAUUUCAUCUUCAACGUAUUUAUCAAGCUCCAGAACUUAUAGUGUAAUGCAGCCUACAGCGAGGAAGUACCUUUUUUUUCUAACUGAGCUGCACCAGUUCCAAUUUAAUGGGAUAUUUCUUUGUUUGUUUUAGAUUUCCCUUUUUCACAAUAGAGCAUCAUUUUGGUGCAGACAUCAUCAUAAUAUAAUUUGUGACUACUAUAGUGAAAAAGCAUCUUUAUAAUUUGAUCCGUGUGGCUCAAAUGAUAACAAAACAACUUUUUGAACCACAACGAUUGAGAGGAAGAUCUGAAUAGCUGAUGCGACACUGAUGUGAAUUCUCUCCAUGCUGCCUAAACAGCACCCCCUGGUGGUUAGAGCUCUCACUGCAAUCAAGUGUCCUGCUGGAUUGAAAAUGUGUCUGCAGUAACAGGUGUGCCUGCAGCCACUUUAUCAGAGUCCAACUCAUCCCUGUAGAUCUCUCAGCUCUGCGUUAACUUCCCCUGCCAUACGUUCCUGAGCAUGUAAGAUCUGUUUAUCCUUAUCUGCCUGCAUUACUUUAUACAUUUGAGUAGACUGUUAGUUUAAGAGGUAAUUGCCAGAAAUCAUGGCUUUGGAUGGAAAAUAAAUCUAUAGAACUGCAAA